UCUGGCGGGGAGAGUAGAGAGGGGAGGGAGAUGCGCGGCUGAGAGAGAGAGAGAGAGAGAGGCGUGGGGAUUUGGGAAUGGGUUCCUCUGGAGCUCUGGCGAGAGAGAGGAAGAAGAAGACAGGCUGUUGCCGGUUGGAUGAGAAUUGAGACGGUUACGUUCGGGCGCCAAGGCUGGGGGUUGUAUUUGAAGGUGGCGUGCGGGCUUUCGGAAGCACGGAGUGGACUUGCGGGACAAGGAAAAGGAUCACAGGGCCACGAGGCUGGAUGACUGCUGGCCCAUCACGAAGCCUGACUCCAGAACGGCCCACCGUAGUAGGGCCAUUGCAGCGUGUAGAUCAAAUGGAGAAUUAAAAAAAAAAUGGAGAAGAGACGCAACAGUAGUAUGGGAAAAAAAGACCAUGCAUAUAAAGUGUCUUUGAGAGAAGAAACUAGGGUUC
rnacentral:lncRNA from 1 species